rnacentral:piRNA from 1 species
UACACUAGCAAGCGCUUGCUGAAAGGA